UUUUAGGUCAUGUUGGAUGCUGAGGUCUAUCAGGAGGAGUUCUUUGUCAACAUUUAAAGCUUUUGAAAUUUGCACUGGACUGAGUUUGCCGUGGACUAAAGGAGAGACCAGAUUGCCCUGUGACUGGCCGUAGUCUUCAGUUGGGCUUGCCAACCCACGGUGUAGACAAGAAGAUUGACCAUCCCAUUGAAUCCUGUGUGGUUUAGCCCAAAGUUGCUGAAAGAAGUGGACCUGAUCGUUCCUGCCUCUGGCUGUGUCACUCCGCUACCUACAUCUUCUCCAAGGGGGAAAAAGGGAGACCUGCUGGACCUCUCCAUCCCAUCCCACACAGAUUUUAUAAAUAGUGGUACUUUAUACUUUGCACAAAAUUAAAAGUUGCCAUUUGAAUUUUAAUUUUUUUUUAACGUGAAUUUAGCUCUGACAGAGAUCACCUGCCAAGGACAGUGCUCCCCAAGAUGGAUGUUGAAGCCUUUUCUCACCCUUUUCCUUGUCCAUCUUUUUUAUAUAGUAAAGCUUUCUUUUACAAACUAAA